rnacentral:rRNA from 1 species
UACGAAGGGGGCUAGCGUUGCUCGGAUUUACUGGGCGUAAAGGGAGCGUAGGCGGAACGACAAGUCAGAGGUGAAAGCCCGGGGCUCAACCUCGGAAUUGCCUUUGAGACUGUCGAUCUAGAGUUUGGGAGAGGUGUGUGGAACUCCGAGUGUAGAGGUGAAAUUCGUAGAUAUUCGGAAGAACACCAGUGGCGAAGGCGACACACUGGCCCAAUACUGACGCUGAGGCUCGAAAGCGUGGGGAGCAAACAGGG